UACGUAGGGUCCGAGCGUUGUCCGGAAUUAUUGGGCGUAAAGGGCUCGUAGGUGGUUUGUCGCGUCGGGAGUGAAAUCCCUGGGCUUAACCCAGGGUCUGCUUUCGAUACGGGCAGACUAGAGGUAUCAGGGGAGAACGGAAUUCCUGGUGUAGCGGUGAAAUGCGCAGAUAUCAGGAGGAACACCGGUGGCGAAGGCGGUUCUCUGGGACAUUCUCUCGCUGAGGAGCGAAAGUGUGGGGAGCGAACAGG
rnacentral:rRNA from 1 species